UGUUCGUUUUUCCCUUUUCUU
rnacentral:piRNA from 1 species